rnacentral:lncRNA from 1 species
CUUGAAAGUAAAUUUUUUUUUCCAAAAAUGAAGAAAUCUUUUAUACAGCAUUUAGGCAAAUAGAAAGGCUUACAUCACCUAUAUAAUGGUGGUUUACAACAUCUUUUUUUCUAAAAAAAAAAAACAAUUCUAAGAUGAUUAUUUGAACAAAGUAGAUGCUUUACAUAUUACUUUGUUCCGUUAUCUUCGAACUAACAUCUGGGCAGCAUCAUGAAUUGCGGACAGAAACAAGAAAUCUGUUGAACAGAUAGAGAAAAUGAAUAUGUCAGAGAACAUGAAGUAUAUUUGGAACUCUCGUAAUAGAGUUUUGUUUAGUAACAAUUGUACUUAGAAUAAACAAAAAUUUUUAUUUGUAACAAAAGCGAAAUCCCCGCCUUUCAAAAUCUAGAUUUAAAUUACAUAGAAAACCUUUCGGGUCAUUCAAAUGCCAAAAAAUAUAAUAUAUUAAAAUUGCCACUUGCACAUAAAAUUUAGAAAACUGCACAAUACUUUGAAUUCCUUCUUAUUCUCUUAAAAUUUAUAUUAAGAUUUAAAUUUUUCAAAAACUAAUUAUAAUAAAAUAAGUCUUUGGAUUAAAGAUAUAAAAGUAAUGAAAAAAGAAUUUGAAGCUUACAUACCAUCUGGACGCUAACGUACAAGCUAGGUGGGAUCAGACUUUGAGCCUUAUGAGAAAUUGCUGUAUUCACACCAGUAUCACCAUCAUGGCCAUCACCAGGAUUAGGACCAAUUGAUGCUUCAUUCUCCCUACUAAUAUUGAAAAUGUAGAAGAAGGACAUGCCUCUGUUAGUUAUGGAUCUAUAUGAAACAUUUGAGGAACUAUUAACUAU